UUUUUAAUAGUUGGGGACCAAAUUUGAAACGAUAUCUACAUAUACAUUUUUGCAACUAUUUUGUGAAAUAAAUCUUGUAGUUGAGAUUUAUUUACAAUGGCUGCCACUAGAUUUUCAUUGCUUUUCUCCAUAACUAUAACAAUUCGAUUAUAACCAUCAAACUGCAGAAAUAUUUGAUAGCAUUUAAUUACUACAAAAUUACAAAAUAUUUAGACAAUAAUUCAUAAACAUAUCAUAAAUAAGAUCAAUAUUAAUAAAACUAAUGUUUUUUUACGGGACAGGUUGGCGGGACGGGUUUGGCAGAACGUUACUUAAUAACAAUUGUAAACUAUAAAAUAAAAGUAUUUUAUAGAUAGAUAUAAUUUGUAAACUUUUAUGUAUAUUAACUUUAAAAAAUAAAUUGUUCCCGCGGUGUACCGCGGAUUAAAAUCUAAUAAUCCUUAAAAGGACAAAGGAUUUCAAAAUAAUAAUUCUUAUUCAUCUCUU
rnacentral:sRNA from 1 species